rnacentral:rRNA from 1 species
UACGGAGGGGCUAGCGUUGUUCGGAAUUACUGGGCGUAAAGCGUGCGCAGGCGGUCUUGCAAGACAGAUGUGAAAUCCCCGGGCUUAACCCUGGGAACUGCAUUUGUGACUGCAAGGCUGGAGUGCGGCAGAGGGGGAUGGAAUUCCGCGUGUAGCAGUGAAAUGCGUAGAUAUGCGGAGGAACACCGAUGGCGAAGGCAAUCCCCUGGGCCUGCACUGACGCUCAUGCACGAAAGCGUGGGGAGCAAACAGG